rnacentral:rRNA from 1 species
AGCGAACGCUGGCGGCAGGCCUAACACAUGCAUGUCGAACGGAUCCUUCGGGAUUAGUGGCGGACGGGUGAGUAACACGUGGGAACGUGCCUUUUGGUUCGGAACAACUCAGGGAAACUCGAGCUAAUACCGGAUGUGCCUUUCGGGGGAACGAUUUAUCGCCAUUAGAGCGGCCCGCGUCUGAUUAGCUUGUUGGUGUGGUAAAGGCUCACCAAGGCUUCGAUCAGUAGCUGGUCUUAGAGAAUGAUCAGCCACACUGGGACUGAGACACGGCCCAGACUCCUACGGGAGGCAGCAGUGGAGAAUCUUGCGCAAUGGGCGAAAGCCUGACGCAGCCAUGCCGCGUGAAUGAUGAAGGUCUUAGGAUUGUAAAAUUCUUUCACCGGGGACGAUAAAGACGGUACCCGGAGAAGAAGCUCCGGCUAACUUCGUGCCAGCCGCCGCGGUAACAC